rnacentral:rRNA from 1 species
CGAAAGGCGUAGUCGAUGGGAAACAGGUUAAUAUUCCUGUACUUGGUGUUACUGCGAAGGGGGGACGGAGAAGGCUAUGUUGGCCGGGCGACGGUUGUCCCGGUUUAAGCGUGUAGGCUGGUUUUCCAGGCAAAUCCGGAAAAUCAAGGCCGAGGCGUGAUGACGAGGCACUACGGUGCUGAAGCAACAAAUGCCCUGCUUCCAGGAAAAGCCUCUAAGCAUCAGGUAACAUCAAAUCGUACCCCAAACCGACACAGGUGGUCAGGUAGAGAAUACCAAGGCGCUUGAGAGAACUCGGGUGAAGGAACUAGGCAAAAUGGUGCCGUAACUUCGGGAGAAGGCACGCUGAUACGUAGGUGAAGCGACUUGCUCGUGGAGCUGAAAUCAGUCGAAGAUACCAGCUGGCUGCAACUGUUUAUUAAAAACACAGCACUGUGCAAACACGAAAGUGGACGUAUACGGUGUGACGCCUGCCCGGUGCCGGAAGGUUAAUUGAUGGGGUUAGCGCAAGCGAAGCUCUUGAUCGAAGCCCCGGUAAACGGCGGCCGUAACUAUAACGGUCCUAAGGUAGCGAAAUUCCUUGUCGGGUAAGUUCCGACCUGCACGAAUGGCGUAAUGAUGGCCAGGCUGUCUCCACCCGAGACUCAGUGAAAUUGAACUCGCUGUGAAGAUGCAGUGUACCCGCGGCAAGACGGAAAGACCCCGUGAACCUUUACUAUAGCUUGACACUGAACAUUGAGCCUUGAUGUGUAGGAUAGGUGGGAGGCUUUGAAGUGUGGACGCCAGUCUGCAUGGAGCCGACCUUGAAAUACCACCCUUUAAUGUUUGAUGUUCUAACGUGGACCCGUGAUCCGGGUUGCGGACAGUGUCUGGUGGGUAGUUUGACUGGGGCGGUCUCCUCCUAAAGAGUAACGGAGGAGCACGAAGGUUGGCUAAUCCUGGUCGGACAUCAGGAGGUUAGUGCAAUGGCAUAAGCCAGCUUGACUGCGAGCGUGACGGCGCGAGCAGGUGCGAAAGCAGGUCAUAGUGAUCCGGUGGUUCUGAAUGGAAGGGCCAUCGCUCAACGGAUAAAAGGUACUCCGGGGAUAACAGGCUGAUACCGCCCAAGAGUUCAUAUCGACGGCGGUGUUUGGCACCUCGAUGUCGGCUCAUCACAUCCUGGGGCUGAAGUAGGUCCCAAGGGUAUGGCUGUUCGCCAUUUAAAGUGGUACGCGAGCUGGGUUUAGAACGUCGUGAGACAGUUCGGUCCCUAUCUGCCGUGGGCGCUGGAGAACUGAGGGGGGCUGCUCCUAGUACGAGAGGACCGGAGUGGACGCAUCACUGGUGUUCGGGUUGUCAUGCCAAUGGCACUGCCCGGUAGCUAAAUGCGGAAGAGAUAAGUGCUGAAAGCAUCUAAGCACGAAACUUGCCCCGAGAUGAGUUCUCCCUGACCCUUUAAGGGUCCUGAAGGAACGUUGAAGACGACGACGUUGAUAGGCCGGGUGUGUAAGCGCAGCGAUGCGUUGAGCUAACCGGUACUAAUGAACCGUGAGGCUUAACCUU